GCUUAACUGGGUAUGAGUUGUCAAGUUCAUUUCCGCUUUUGACUGUUCGAUUUCUUUCUGCUGUCGAUCUUGACAAAGCAAGACGCAUUUUGGAGCUGUGGUUAGCUUCCACCAGCCAACAUGGUGAAUCAUCGUAUACCGUCGGUCUUUUCCAAGACCUAUGUUACACCGCGUCGUCCAUUUGAAAAACCGCGUCUCGAUGCGGAACUGAAAAUUAUUGGCCAGUAUGGCCUUCGCAAUAAACGCGAGGUCUGGCGUGUCAAGUACACAUUGGCUAAGAUCCGUAAAGCUGCCCGUGAGUUGCUCACUCUCGAGGAAAAGGAUGAGAAGCGCCUCUUCCAAGGUAACGCGCUGCUGCGCCGUCUUGUUCGCAUCGGUGUGUUGGAUGAAUCCCGCAUGAAGCUCGAUUAUGUUCUCGGUCUAAAAAUCGAAGAUUUCUUGGAGCGUCGCUUGCAGACUCAGGUGUUCAAGUUGGGAUUGGCCAAAUCUUAUCAUCACGCUCGCGUCUUGAUUCGCCAGAGACACAUCCGGUAAUUAUUAGUUUAAGUGAGAUUUUGCGAUGGAGUGCUGUCGCAAAUGAUCGUGAGUACCACUUAAUUGUCGGUAAACCCGACAUUUAACGUCUCACAUACGAAUGUCCGUCAUUGACAUUGAACACAAUUCAAUUGCCGAGACGUACUACCGGUUCUUGAAUAGAUGAUUAUCUGCACAGGACAAGAGGUCUCCAUGAGCAAUUGCGAUUCGACUGCCGGAAGCGUUCGUAAGCAGGUCGUCAACAUUCCUUCAUUUAUUGUACGCCUGGAUUCGCAGAAGCACAUAGACUUCUCGCUCAAAUCACCGUUCGGCGGUGGUCGUCCUGGACGUGUUAAGAGGAAGAACAUGAAGAAGGGACAG